CGUGUAGGCGGCCCGGUAAGUCCGCUGUGAAAGUCGGGGGCUCAACCCUCGGAAGCCGGUGGAUACUGUCGGGCUCGAGUACGGAAGAGGCGAGUGGAAUUCCUGGUGUAGCGGUGAAAUGCGCAGAUAUCAGGAGGAACACCAAUUGCGAAGGCAGCUCGCUGGGACGUAACUGACGCUGAGACGCGAAAGCGUGGGGAGCAAACA
rnacentral:rRNA from 1 species